rnacentral:rRNA from 1 species
GGCGAACGCUGGCGGCGUGCUUAACACAUGCAAGUCGAGCGGUAAGGCCCUUUCGGGGGUACGACGAGCGGCGAACGGGUGAGUAACACGUGGGUGACCUGCCCUUAGCUCUGGGAUAAGCCUGGGAAACUGGGUCUAAUACCGGAUAUGACUCCAUAACGCAUGUUGUGGGGUGGAAAGCCUUGUGCGGCUAGGGAUGGGCCCGCGGCCUAUCAGCUUGUUGGUGGGGUGAUGGCCACCAAGGCGACGACGGGUAGCCGGCCUGAGAGGGCGACCGGCCACACUGGGACUGAGACACGGCCCAGACUCCUACGGGAGGCAGCAGUGGGGAAUCUUGCGCAAUGGGCGAAAGCCUGACGCAGCGACGCCGCGU